AAAUUUUUAUAGUUUAAGAAAUUUAUUAUAAAUUUAUUUUACAUAUAAAUUUUAGUAUUAAUUUUUAAUUAUUUUAAUAAUAAUUAAUUAAUUUUAUAGUAAUUAAUAUUAAAAAUUUAAGAAAUUAAGAUUUAGUAAUAUUAAAAUUAUUAACUAAUUUUGUGCCAGCAGUUGCGGUUAUACAAAAAUUAAAUUAAAUUUUUUUAGUAAUUAAUUAAUAAUUAAUAUUUAUUAAAAUUAAUGAUUGUUUUAUUAAGUGAAAUUUUAAUUCAAUAAAAAUUUAUAAUUUAAAUUUAUGAUAUUAAUAAAUUUUAUAAAAAACUAGGAUUAGAUACCCUAUUAUAAAAAAUUAAAUUUAUAAUACUAAAAUAGUAAAUGAGUAUUUAUUGAAACUUAAAUAAUUUGGCGGUAUUUUAGUUCAUUUAGAGGAAUCUGUUUAUUAAUUGAUAAUCCACGAAUAAAUUUACUUAAUUUAAUAGUUUAUAUAUCGUUGUUAAAGAAAUAUUUAUUAAUAAAAAUAAUAUUUAAAAAUUUAAAUUAAAAAAUUAAAUCAGAUCAAGAUGUAGUUUAUAAUUAAGAAUAUAAUGGAUUACAAUAAAUUUAUUUAUAUGGAUAUGAAUUUGUAAAAAUUAAUUAAAAUUGGAUUUAAAUGUAAUUUUAUUUAAUUUAUUAAAAUGAUUAAAAAUUAAAAUAUGUACAUAUUGCCCGUCGCUUUCAUUUAAAAGUUGGAAUAAGUCGUAACAAAGUAGAGGUACUGGAAAGUGUUUCUAGAAAGAU
rnacentral:ncRNA from 1 species